GUGGGGAAUAUUGGACAAUGGGCGCAAGCCUGAUCCAGCCAUGCCGCGUGAGUGAUGAAGGCCCUAGGGUUGUAAAGCUCUUUCAGUGGGGACGAUAAUGACGGUACCCACAGAAGAAGCCCCGGCUAACUUCGUGCCAGCAGCCGCGGUAAUACGAAGGGGGCUAGCGUUGUUCGGAUUUACUGGGCGUAAAGCGCACGUAGGCGGAUCGUUAAGUCGAGGGUGAAAUCCUGGAGCUCAACUCCAGAACUGCCUUCGAUACUGGCGAUCUUGAGUCCGGAAGAGGUGAGUGGAACUCCUAGUGUAGAGGUGGAAUUCGUAGAUAUUAGGAAGAACACCAGUGGCGAAGGCGGCUCACUGGUCCGGUACUGACGCUGAGGUGCGAAAGCGUGGGGAGCAAACAGGAUUAGAAACCCUGUAGUCC
rnacentral:rRNA from 1 species